GGACUACUAGGGUUUCUAAUCCUGUUUGAUCCCCACGCUUUCGUGCAUCAGCGUCAAUCAUCGCUUAGCCUGCUGCCUUCGCAAUAGGUGUUCUAUGUCAUAUCUAAGCAUUUCACCGCUACAUGACAUAUUCCGCAAACCUCAACGAUAUUCAAGACCUAUAGUAUCCAAGGCAGUUUCUGAGUUAAGCUCAGAGAUUUCACCCCAGACUUACAAGCCCGCCUACGCACCCUUUAAACCCAGUAAAUCCGGAUAACGCUCGCACCCUCCGUAUUACCGCGGCUGCUGGCAC
rnacentral:rRNA from 1 species